rnacentral:rRNA from 1 species
UACGGAGGGAGCUAGCGUCGUUCGGAAUUACUGGGCGUAAAGCGCACGUAGGCGGCUCAGCAAGUCAGGGGUGAAAUCCCGGGGCUCAACCCCGGAACUGCCCUUGAAACUGCUAAGCUAGAAUCUUGGAGAGGCGAGUGGAAUUCCGAGUGUAGAGGUGGAAUUCGUAGAUAUUCGGAAGAACACCAGUGGCGAAGGCGACUUACUGGACACAUAUUGACGCUGAGGUGCGAAAGCGUGGGGAGCAAACAGG